rnacentral:rRNA from 1 species
AUUGAACGCUGGCGGCAGGCCUAACACAUGCAAGUCGAACGAGUGGCGGACGGGUGAGUAAUGUCUGGGAAACUGCCCGAUGGAGGGGGCUAACUACUGGAAACGGUAGCUAAUACCGCAUACCAUCGGAUGUGCCCAGAUGGGAUUAGCUAGGUGGUGGGGUAAUGGCUCACCUAGGCGACGAUCCCUAGCUGGUCUGAGAGGAUGACCAGCCACACUGGAACUGAGACACGGUCCAGACUCCUACGGGAGGCAGCAGUGGGGAAUAUUGCACAAUGGGCGAAAGCCUGAUGCAGCCAUGCCGCGUGGAUGAAGAAGGUCUUCGGGUUGUAAAGUACUUUAAGCGGGGAGGCGUUACCCGCAGAAGAAGCACCGGCUAACUACGUGCCAGCAGCCGCGGUAAUAC